GAAAAGUCCCAAGCAGAAGAGGGGCAUCUGGUGGAUCAAGUUGUUUGACAGGUAGAGAUAACUCAUACUGUUGAGUUCGAAUUAGCGCACUUAUGGAGUGCCGUCCAGCAAGUUGCCGAGGCAUGUUGCGAAGGAAAGAGGAAUCGAGGUCGAUCCUGCAAAAAAAAAAGGAAGAAAAAAAAAAGAAAAAAGAAAAAAACGAUACAAGAAACGCCUGAACCGAAGACAAGAGAAC
rnacentral:lncRNA from 1 species